rnacentral:rRNA from 1 species
AUACGGGGGGUGCAAGCGUUAUUCGGAAUUAUUGGGCGUAAAGAGCGCGUAGGCGGUUUUUUAAGUUCAGAUGUGAAAGCCCGGGGCUCAACCUCGGAAGUGCAUUUGAUACUAUGAAACUUGAGUAUGGGAGAGGGAAGUGGAAUUCCUGGUGUAGAGGUGAAAUUCGUAGAUAUCAGGAGGAACACCGGUGGCGAAGGCGACUUCCUGGACCAAUACUGACGCUGAGGCGCGAAGGCGUGGGGAGC